ACGGACGGUUCCUUUCCGGGGUCGGAGGCGUGCUGAACGACGUCACCUGACAACAACAGCCACGUUUACCAUAGGAAGCCGAUGAGAUGCUCUUCAUGGAGAUCCCAAGUCUCCAAAUGCCAGGAAUCGUAUCACUCACAGACCUUUUAGAGAGCCAGAAUGGUCGCCAUGACAACGCCCGUUUGUAUGUGCAGAGCUGAUGGGAUGAAAAAGCUUCAUGGAGGAAACAAGACAACUAGUUGAUUAUAAAGUCUUUGUGUUCUUGUUGGUGAAAAAAAACGUUAAAAAUGUUGAUUUUUGACCGA